rnacentral:rRNA from 1 species
UACAGAGGCCUCGAGCGUUAGGCGGAAUCACUGGGCUUAAAGCGUGUGUAGGCGGAUCGUUAAGUACCUUGUGAAAUCCCACGGCUUAACCGUGGAACUGCUUGGUAUACUGGCGAUCUUGUGCCACCUAGGGGCGAGCGGAACAGAUGGUGGAGCGGUGAAAUGCGUAGAUAUCAAGUGGAACACCAGUGGCGAAGGCGAGUCCCUGGACAACUCCUGACACUGAGGCACGAAAGCUAGGGGAGCAAACAGG